UGCAUGUCUAUGAUGUGUGUGUCGC
rnacentral:piRNA from 1 species